CGGCUAUUGAAAGACAAGAAAACUAUAAAACGGGGAACCGAAACGAGUGAAGUGAGAUGCCUGUUCUGCUGGAAAUUCUUUCGAGAAGCGUAAUUGGCGAUAUGCGAACAACUUUCUCCUUUAUUUAACAAGAAUUUUGCAUUAUUCAUUAUUAUUGAGCUGCUUAACGAUACUUAUGGUUUGAUGAAACUGGACUUGUCCGAAAUCGUUGCUACUAAAGUGUUUCCAGUUUCGAAAAUACAACGAUCGACAGUGAUAUUCGACCCCUCUUCUAGACGCUUUCAUCGGAUUACCUAAAAACUUUCGACGCCGUGAGAAAUGUUGCAGUGUUAUCAGAAAAUUGACAGACAGAUUUCUUCUACGAUUUAAAGUAAAUCUAUGCUUUUUUUCUCUUUUAAACUGUUUAGGCGCAAAAGUCUCCAAUUUCCAAUCAUUCUGCAUAGCUGUUGAUGUUUUAAAAUUAUUACACAUCGAUUAUACUCGUAUCAGUCUUUUGCACGAAUUGCAAAAAUUUAAUUCCUCCUCUUUUAGCCACAUUCGAUGUAAUAUAUCUUUAAUAUAAAUUCGACAGGAUCUGUCUCAAACCAAUGGACGAUACGUAAAAAUUAA